GAGAGUUCUGGGAGAGACCGAACGCAGUUGUUGUGAUGGACGGUUAUCUGCUUAACAGCGCGAACAGGACACGUUUGUCAGGGAAGCUGCUGCUUGUUCCCGGUGCUCUGAACUCUGACUGACUGAUUUCAGUGCUAUGAAGAACAUACACCGGAUGGCAGAAAUGCCUUCACCCCAGUCUUCACUAUCGUAAUAGUAUCGUUGUUUGUUCUUUACUGUAUGUGGAAAUAUCUAUGUUUUGUAUUUGAUUUACAUUAGGUAUUUGUUCUUAUUCUUGUUCUUAUGUUGAUAUAUUUUUGUACUGCUACAUAUGAAAUUCAACUUGAAAUGAACUGAUUACUUGAACUGUCUGUUUGUUUUGCCAAAAAAGUCUGUAAAAACAGUGAUUUAAAAAAAAAGAUUUAAUAAAUAUUUAAAAGAA